GAUUGUAUUUGACAAUCAAUUUCCAUUACAUAAGGACUUUAGAAUCGAUUUUCCUCAUUUUUCUAUACCUUUGGUUCAUAAUUGAGGUGUGGUGAACUUCAAAACUUGCGGUGAAAUAUUACAUAAGAAAAAAUGAGGUUAGGUAGCAGCGGUGUUGCAGCCUUUGCGACAGAAAAAUUGAUUGUAAAUACGCUGAGAUAUGUAUUUCAUUAUUAUACGCAUAGCAAUAUCUACUAAAAUUAGUAAUACUAUAAUUAAAAGGGCGUCCAAAGCAAUAUGCUGUUUGGUCUCGUGAUAUUAGAUAUUUUGUUUGCCUUCAUGAACACGCUACAUUGUAUAACUGGCAACUUUAGUUUUAUCAUUGAGGUUAAAACUGGUACGACUGCUUCGUAGGAAAUUGUAUGGAUUCAUUACUGUUGCAUUAAUGAUUUAAAAUAAUUUUAAAUACCUUAAUUUUUUUUCUAAAAUUUAUAAAAACUCGUAAAUUUCCUUGUUAAGGUUACGUUGAUGGCUAUAUGGUACAAGAGGUGAAGCAUGUCGUAUAGUAACAAAGUUAAGAGAAAUUUAAAUUGGGGCAGACGAACUAUUUAGAAAAAAUAACACGGCACCUGUUUAUUGCUCUAUGGAAGGUUGAUUGCAUAACGAUCGUUUUUUGUUAUGCGUUCCGAAUGUUAUUCUGUAAAUAUACAUACAUAUCUAUGUAAAACCAACAUUCAUUUUACAUAACUUUCAAAUAGAUUAGCAAGGAUAAAACUAAAAUAUUAUGGAA